UAGUAAAACAUAGGGGAAAAAAAGUGUGAACUUUUUUUUUUUGGAUAAUGUGCAGUAUAAGCAGUAAGAAUAUUUACAAACAGUUCUGUAAAUUUUUAUGUACACCCAACUGACUUUUUUUUUUUUUUUUAACUGUACCAGACUUAGCCUCCAAAAUUUCAGGCAGGCUGUAAACCUUCUGCAAAAGCAAACUUAAUUAGCAAGAGAGUUAAGUAGUCAUGGAUUUAAAACACUUAUCAACCUGCGAAGUUUGAAGAGGGAUUAGAUGCAGGACUUGGAAACAGAUACAUUCAAGCAAGAUAUUUCCAGAGAAGAGAGGUAUUGGCUCAGUCGGCAUAGGCUUCCGCAGGAUUUAGAAACUAUAAAGAGGAGGAAAGUGGCAAAGGAAUCCGUGCAGCUCUUGCCCCAGGGGUACAAGCCUCCUCUGUGCCCUUGAUAACGUUAUCUGAGAGGCAUCACACCUCAGAUAUUCCUGUCAGCAUUUCCACCCCUGUCAGCAAAGACCAAGGUCGGGCGGCUCUGAGAGGUCCUGCACGCCCCAUGACAGAGCCCCACCAAAUCCUGCAGCUCUUUUCCCAUUUUCCUGUCCACGGGACUGUUGCAGUCUGAUGGGCAAGAGCUGGGGUGCCCGUGGGCUGGGGCGGGUGAGAGCAUGUGCACAGGACGUGAACUGGGAGGAAAGCAGGAUCCUGGCUUGCACUGCUCACCGCACAGCUGGUUUCCUCUCAUUUAAGGUUGUUUAUGUAACAUGAAAUCCAGGGAUGAUAAGCAUGACAAAUGUUCCUUCUAGAACACUAAUGCAAUUCAUAUUUAUCUCUAAUCCCUUCUCUUGCCCAGUGAGAAUGGCUGUAACAAAUGACAAACUGAACCAAACUCACCAGAGGACUAUUUUUUUUCUACUUUCACCCCGGCCAACAGAGUUGGUUUCUUGGUAGUGCCCAGGCCUCUUCACUAUGUGAUGUUUAUUUUGGGAAGAAUUUAAGAAAUCCUGCAACUAUGCAUGCAAACGUGACUUUGGGGUUUUGGAACUGAAAAAGGAAUUGGUUUUGAUCUCUUGCCCUUGUUUAGUCCUUGAAUGACUGGAAACAUUAGCAGGAGGAAGUUAUGCUUUCUGGUCUUCACUUUAGUUUCUAUCUAUAGUUAGUUUCUAUUCAUUUCAGUUGUGAACAGUGACAUUUUGACUACUAUGGCAAAGAUUUGUUAGUCAAUGCCCGUAGAGAGCUCAUGUCUCAAAGUGAUGGCGGUGGUGGUCAAAGCACCUCACUGAGUGCGCCUCAGAGAGGUGCCACUGCUCACAGCUUGGAACUGUGAGGUGCCCAAGGGGCUGAGAUCUCCGGGUUCACAUCCCAUCUCCAUCUGUGAGAGUUCACAGGCACACCUCUUGUCAUCCCAGGCACUGCGCCACUAUCAGACUAUGACAGCUGCCAUUUUGAGGCACAAACUCUACAGGCAUUAGCUAAACAGAGCUCCUCUUUGCAGAGGAGUCCGUGUUCUAGGGUGUAAAUCCAUGAUGAAUGCACACUUUGAGUACUGUAUACACCCUUUGUUUUUCCAUCUCCCAAAUAGCUGAAUAAAACUGCCAAAAAAUGCCACCAGCUGGAAGCAGGCUGCUAACGGGGGAAAAAAAUAAAGAGCAAGGUCCCUGCAGGAUGCACACGUCAGUGCUGGAACACCCUGCCACCAAGUGCUGUGAAUGCCAAAAGGCUGCAAGGAUUCAAGGGGAGCUGGGGCAAGUUCAGGUAAGAGAAGUUCCAGCAGGGACUAGGAAACACAAAGAUGCUGCUUCUGGCUUGGGAAGCCCCUGAGCUGCAAGCUGCUGGGAGUAUAUUAGAGUACAGCAUCCCCACAGGCUUGCCCGUGUGUAUGCUCUUCCCUCACCAUCACGACUUGGUCACUCUUGAAGACAAGACGUUGAGAUGGAUGGUCCUUUUCUCUGCUACGCUUCAGCCACUUGUCUCCUGCACCCCUUCACUGGAUGUUUUGCAACGUCUAACUUGUAGCAAAUGGGAUAAUAAAAGGUGAGAGACUGAGGGAGACAAGAUCUGCAGUAAACAUGGGACAAAUCUGCGUGAGAAAGUGAAAGGAGUUGCGGCACAGAGAAGGAAGCAGCACUGGAGAAGGAACGAGCUGCUGAUGGCAGGCUCUGCCUACAGUAGCAGAAGAAAUUAAACCUUAUUGACAGUGUUCAUCUCUGGAACAAUGUUUAUCUCUAGGGGAGAGAAGCAUAAAGUCACAUGAAAAGAGAGACUGAACAAGAUAGAGGAAACCUGGGAAAGGGGAGAAGUACAGGCAUUUUUUAGUGGCAAGCCUAAGAUAAACUUAUGAAUGCAGAAUCAGGCUCCACAUAAGAUCAGUGUUGGUAUCACUUUGGAAGUUUUAUAUGAUUGAUUUUCUUGGUUUUGUCACAAAUAAGGCUAAAUGUAAACAUAUUGUUUACUCUUUUAUCUAUCUAAACUUGCAACACAUACAGUAUGUGUGGCCAUUAUUUACCAGUAUUACCACCUGUGUGCUGCUUUGUCUAGGUCACCUUGCACAUCUGCAGCAGUAAGGAACAUUUCAGUGAGUUAGGGCACUUCUUGCUCAGUGACUGUUUAAAUAUUAGUUUCUUCUGUGGGAGCUAUGGAGAGGUACCAGCAAUGAAACUGGCCCAGCACUGCCAGCAGUAAACUACAUCUGUGAAAGUAUUCUGAGCUUAAGGAGAAACAAUCAGUUUCAGCUUUGCUUUAGAAA